CUACGUGCCAGCAGCCGCGGUAAUACGUAGGUCCCGAGCGUUGUCCGGAUUUAUUGGGCGUAAAGCGAGCGCAGGCGGUUAGAUAAGUCUGAAGUUAAAGGCUGUGGCUUAACCAUAGUACGCUUUGGAAACUGUUUAACUUGAGUGCAAGAGGGGAGAGUGGAAUUCCAUGUGUAGCGGUGAAAUGCGUAGAUAUAUGGAGGAACACCGGUGGCGAAAGCGGCUCUCUGGCUUGUAACUGACGCUGAGGCUCGAAAGCGUGGGGAGCAAACAGGAUUAGAUACCCUGGUAGUCCACGCCGUAAACGAUGAGUGCUAGGUGUUAGACCCUUUCCGGGGUUUAGUGCCGCAGCUAACGCAUUAAGCACUCCGCCUGGGGAGUACGACCGCAAGGUUGAAACUCAAAGGAAUUGACGGGGGCCCGCACAAGCGGUGGAGUAUGUGGUUUAAUUCGAAGCAACGCGAAGAACCUUACCAGGUCUUGACAUCCCUCUGACCGCUCUAGAGAUAGAGUUUUC
rnacentral:rRNA from 1 species